UACGAAGGGUGCAAACGUUGCUCGGAAUCAUUGGGCGUAAAGCGCACGUAGGCGGCCCAGCAAGUUGGAUGUGAAAUCCCUCGGCUCAACCGAGGACGUGCAUCCAAAACUGCUGGGCUUGAGUACUGAAGAGGAUCGCGGAAUUCCCGGUGUAGAGGUGAAAUUCGUAGAUAUCGGGAGGAACACCAGUGGCGAAGGCGGCGAUCUGGGCAGAUACUGACGCUGAGGUGCGAAAGCGUGGGGAGCAAACAGGG
rnacentral:rRNA from 1 species